GUUUUCAAGGUUCAUCAUGUAGUAGCAUGAGUCAGUACUUCAUUCCUUUUCUGUGGGCAGAAUAUUACCCCAUCAUAUGGGUUGGUAUAGGAGCACUCUAGGGGAGCCGACUGCCUACCUCUGUAAUUCCUGCUCCUGCAGCUCUUACAAUUGGCUUCAGCCUCAUAGGCCAUUCUUUUCAUUCUUGAACUCAUCAAGCUUGAUCCCAGCUGUAGGCCUGUGGAAUCACUGUCUCCUCCACCUUCAGAUCUGCAGUGUCCUUUGCCCAGAUCCUUACCUCCUCCUCAUCCAGGUCACAGAUACAAAGUUUACCCCUGAGAGAAGCUUCUCUGACUGCACUAGUCUAAAGUUGUCUACAUACAUUACUAACUCUUCAGCCUCAUUUUCCUCAAAUUUCUAAUCAUUAUCUGAAAUUAUCUAGUGCGGGUACUUUAUUGUCUGUCUCUCCCACUAAAAUAGAAGUCUGUGCAAGCUGUGACUUUGCUUAGAGCAGAGCCUGGCAUUUAGAAAAAGAUCAAUCAAUAUUUGUUGAAUGAAUAAAUUGAGUAGUGUCCUCAAUGUAAUGCUAAGCCUUUAAAGGUUUUAAGGAAGGAAGUGACAUGAUCUAUUUUACAUUAAAAAAGCAAAGCAUUCUGGUUGCUGUGAAGAAUGAAUUUUAGGAAGGCCCCCCCACCAAAUGCAACCUUAAACUGUCUAGGCAGUACAUUUAUCAUUUUCUGUGUUUAAUAUUGAUUCCAGCUAGAACUUAUUUGUUGAGUGAGAAAUUUUAUUUUACCCCGCUGUCCCAGGUGGAGACUGGAUUAAAAUGACUGGUUUAGAAGCAAAAUGUUUCAUGCCCCUUUUGUACUUCACAUUCUAUAAUAAUUUUCUUACUGGUUCCCUAUUUAACUAAAAACACUUUUGCUUUGCUUUUCAAUUACAGAAAGUAUGAACCCACUUUCUUUUCUUUCUACUUAGUUGUCUGGAACCCCACUUUCAAUCUUUAUGCAAAGGUGUAUUCAAAUAAUUGCUUCUCUUCAGUAUCUGACAUCAAUGGGUUGAGGUUCUUCUGAGGUGUUGCCUUGUGCCCUCUAGUGGAUGAAGGGCUGGGUUGGGAGUGGAG